AGUAUUUCAUACAUUCCUGAAUGAUAAUGCCACCCCAACGUUGAAGUUUAUCAUAAUAUAAUCAGUUUUGAAAGUUGGCAAAUCUUUUAAGUUUUACUGUUGAAAGAAUUGUACAACAGUUUUAGCUGUAGGAUAUUCUCAAAUUGCUUAAAAAUAAAAGCUGCGGCAAAGGAAACAAAUCCAUAAGGAAAAGGCAACCAUAUAAAAUGUGCAACUUAAUUACAAAAUGAAGAAAAACAUUACAUUUUUGCUCCUGAUUUGUCUUGUUGGAUUGGUGCUUAGCAAAAGUGUAUUGAAUGCAGAAAACAAUGAAUUAUUAAAAGAUUCAGAACAUCUUGAAACCCGUCGCAUACGAAGAGAAGCGCCGGGUCGUGGUGGUAGAAGGGAGAAAAACAUCUUGCCGGGUGGUGGUGGUGGAGGUAGAGGAGGACGGAAAAUCAUGUUGCUGAGAAAAUAAACUCAAUUUAACGAGUAAAACGACACAGGCGAUGAUAUAUUGGACAAGAUUAUAUAAAUCUGCUUGAAUAUGAAACACAGAAAAAAGCAAAUGAAAAUUUAAACAAUAUUUAAACUGUGUACUCAAUAUAUUUAAUCUGUUUGCAUA